UUUCCGUAGGUGAACCUGCGGAAGGAUCCUUAUUGGAUUUUGAAACUUCAGGCUGCUGCUGGCUCUCCUCGGAGGGCAUGUGCACGCUUGUUGUCCAUUAUUUCUCCCACUGUGCACAAAUUGUAGACCUUUCAGUAGGCCUAUGUUGUUUUUCACAAUCUCUGAAUGUAAUAGAAUGGUUUUGAAUCUUGGGAAAUACAAUACAACUUUCAGCAACGGAUCUCUUGGCUCUC
rnacentral:misc_RNA from 1 species